GUUAAUUUUAAUGUUAAAUUUUUGAUAACUGUUUAUACCCGAUAAAUCCAGUACAUUUACAGCGUAUAGGGAACGGAAAAAGUCCUUGAUUGAUCAGCUUUUCAUCCACAGAGGUCUAAACUAUAUACACAGAUUUAAGCCAAUGGUCAAUCAGAAUAUAUGUCAUGUGACCGUCAUCUAUAAAUAGAAGCGGGCGACAAAGAUCGCUUGUCGGUUCGUCGUACGGCCACGCUCGUUAGUUUUGUUGUUGUCAUAUUUAAACUAUAAAUACAUAUAAUAUGGCAGACGAACAGAAAGAUUAUAAUAAUGACUACGCGAACGACCAACAAUAUGAGUAUUCGGAUACCAAUUGCAACAACGAAGGCCAAGAGCAAGAUGGCGACUUGGUUGAUGGAACGAAUGGUGAAGAGGAAGACCGAAGUGGAAAUACUAUAGAUGGAGAUCACUAUCAGUCCAAAUCACAAUGUGAAGAAGAAAGGUAGCUAGUUAAUUAAUUCAAUAUUCGUCAAAUUAAAUUACUGCGAAUCCACGCUUUAAUUCCACAAUUAUAAACAUGUAAUUAAUUUA
rnacentral:lncRNA from 1 species